rnacentral:rRNA from 1 species
UACGGAGGGUGCAAGCGUUAUCCGGAUUCACUGGGUUUAAAGGGUGCGUAGUUGGGCAAGUAAGUCAGUGGUGAAAUCUCCGGGCUUAACCCGGAAACUGCCAUUGAUACUAUUUGUCUUGAAUACUGUGGAGGUCAGCGGAAUAUGUCAUGUAGCGGUGAAAUGCUUAGAUAUGACAUAGAACACCAAUUGCGAAGGCAGCUGGCUACACAAAUAUUGACACUGAGGCACGAAAGCGUGGGGAUCAAACAGG